UGAGUACGAGAUGCUACGGCAUCGAAGCAGUCUAUGUCAUACUUCCAAGAAAAGCUUGCAAUGUCAUAAACAAAUAAUGCCUGUACCAUAACCGACACAGGUGGGUAGGUAGAGUAUACUAAGGGGCGCGACAUAACUCUCUCUAAGGAACUCGGCAAAAUGACUCCGUAACUUCGGGAGAAGGAGUGCCUUAUUUUUAUAAGGUUGCAAUAACAAGAUCCAAGCAACUGUUUACCAAAAACACAGGUCUCCGCUAAGUCGUAAGACGAUGUAUGGGGGCUGACGCCUGCCCAGUGCCAGAAGGUUAAAGAAGUUGGUUAGCAUUAGCGAAGCUGAUAACUGAAGCCCUGGUGAACGGCGGCCGUAACUAUAACGGUCCUAAGGUAGCGAAAUUCCUUGUCGGGUAAGUUCCGACCCGCACGAAAGGCGUAAUGAUUUGGAUACUGUCUCGGAGAGGGGCUCGGUGAAAUAGACUUGUCUGUGAAGAUGCGGACUACCUGCACCUGGACAGAAAGACCCUAUGAAGCUUUACUGUAACUUGAGAUUGAAAUUGGACUUUAUCUGCGCAGUAUAGGUGGGAGACGUUGAAAAUAUUCUUGCGGGAAUAUUGGAGUCAUCAGUGAGAUACCACUCUUAUAAUGUUAGAUUUCUAACUUUGUAUCAUUAUCUGGUCAAAGAACAGUUUCAGGCGGGCAGUUUGACUGGGGCGGUCGCCUCCCAAACGGUAACGGAGGCGCACAAAGGUUUCCUCUGAACGUGUAGAAAUCGUAUCUAGAGUGUAAAGGCAUAAGGAAGCUUGACUGUGAGACCUACAAGUCGAGCAGGGACGAAAGUCGGUCUUAGUGAUCUGACGGUGCUGAGUGGAAAGGCCGUCACUCAACGGAUAAAAGUUACUCUAGGAUAACAGGCUGAUCUCCCCCAAGAGUUCACAUCGACGGGGAGGUUUGGCACCUCGAUGUCGGCUCAUCGCAUCCUGGGGCGGUAGUACGUCCCAAGGGUUGGGCUGUUCGCCCAUGAAAGCGGUACGCGAGCUGGGUUCAGAACGUCGUGAGACAGUUCGGUCCAUAUCCGGUGUAGGCGUUAGAAUAUUGAGAGGAGCCUUCUUUAGUACGAGAGGACCGAGAAGGACAUACCUCUGGUGUACCAGUUAUCGUGCCAACGGUAAACGCUGGGUAGCCAUGUAUGGAGAGGAUAACCGCUGAAAGCAUCUAAGUGGGAAGCCCACCUCAAGAUAAGUAUUCUCAUC
rnacentral:rRNA from 1 species